rnacentral:lncRNA from 1 species
CGACUGAGUUAUUUCCCGAGUAAAAUCCCACAUGCAAAUAUAGAAAAGCCGCCUGAUGGACUGUAACAAUGAAUUGAAAAGACACACAGAGAAGGCGGAACAGAACCAAGAAGACAAACCAGCAGGGCUUAGCUUGUUUACAUGACGAAAUGAAGGAACAGACUCGGCGAAUAAACCUUCCAAUAAGUUUAUUUUCUUUUUCCUGAUUUCGCCCUUCAUUUUCAUUAACAAAAGCAAAAGGAAGAACCAAAUUUACCUGAAAAUAUCUGCUCGUCUCUGCUUCAGCUGCUAUAGGAACUGUUAACCUAAAAGGAAAACCCAAGUUAAACCCCAAAAAACAGGUGUAGGGAAAAUGGGUAUGGAAUCGAAUAAAGAGAAAGCUAAACCGUACCUCGUUUCCCGAGAAAAUGAAGCAAGAGAAAGAAAAUAACUCCAUAAGAAAAACAGAAAAAAAAAAUGCCCAUGGAAAAAUGUAGCCUCCCUAUUCAAAAAAUUUUCUCAACACAAUGCCGCUAAGUUUCCACGCUUUUUUCCCGUUCCUUCAACUUUCUCGGCAUGAUCCAACCAAAAAAGGAAAAAAUGAGAAAGAAAAGUAGCAAGAAAAUACCCAAAUUGCUAGCCUUCUCAGCAGUAUUGACUCAUUGAGAGCGGAAGCAGCGAGCCCUAAAUUGGCUGGAGAAAAAAGGAACAACAGAAGCAGAAAAGGCCGACUUACUAUAGACCAACCGAAGUGUCCGUUUAGCUCUAGUUUUCCCUCUCCUUCUCGCAGGAGAAAGAAAAUUAACGACUGCGUCCCUGGUUGAGAGAGAG